ensembl:snRNA U6 U6 spliceosomal RNA
UUGCAGGCUUUGGUAGCACAUAUACUAAAAUUGGAAAGAUAUAAUAUUAGCAUGGUGUCUGUGUGAGGAUUACUUGCAAAUUUGUGAAGCAGUCCAUAUUUUU